UAUGAAGAUGUUUCUUCGCUUUCCGUUUUGUACCGCUGUAAUGAAAGGUUCUCUCUUUGAUUUUUCUCUCUCAAAAUAAACUGUUUUAUUUAAAAGUGUGUGUAUCUCUGACUAAAGUAAAAUAACAACACAUCUGAUACCAAUAAAAAUGGAAUAUGUUCAUAUAUGGAAAAAACAUUUCUUAAUAGAAGACAUUGGAUACACUCCAAAAGUCCCACUAUAUCAGAAAGUUUACUGAAAUAUCCUCGUCUACUAGAUUAUUAUGGCGAAAUGGUAAUAUUAAUUUGGUUAAUAUAAAAACUGGAUGUAUAUAUAUACAUAUUUAAUAACUUUAUAAUUCUGAACUCUUAUUUUAGAUUGACAAAGAAUUCGGAUUACUGUUCGAUAGAGAAUAGAAAAUAAUAAAGAUAUAUUUCUGGAGAGAUUUUCAUCGUACUAUACUCCGCAAUUAUUGGCUUAUGCCAAAUUGCAUCGACCCGAAACGUAUAAAAAUAUGAAUGAUAACAGCAAUGAAAGUCUUAGAAGCUUACUUAUUCUUGCCAAAUUACUGCCAGACAAUAAUGCAUUGAGAAAAAGGAACAGUAAAACAACAAUAAGUCUCACAACAUUAUAUGUAAACGAGAAUACCAGAAAGGAAGAAUCAAGUAAUGUCAUCAAUCUAUAAUAAAUAUUAUACCGGAGGGGACUGAUAUACCAAAAUUUCUAGCUUCAAAAAAAGCUCUAAAGGCCAAACAUAUCCAGCCUUAUAUUAUUUGUGUCUGCGGACAGAACAUUGACAAAUAUUUCGUUCAAGGAGAUGGCUGAACAAUCAAUGUGCAUUUAAAGGCAGAUCCGAUUGUCGCCUUUGACAUAUUAUAUAAAUUUUA